rnacentral:rRNA from 1 species
GACGAACGCUGGCGGCGUGCUUAACACAUGCAAGUCGAGCGAGCGGCGAACGGGUGAGUAACGCGUGAGUAACCUGCCUUUCACAGGGGAAUAACACUGGGAAACCAGUGCUAAUACCGCAUAGUGAAAGAUGGCCUCGCGCCUGAUUAGCUAGUAGGUGAGGUAACGGCUCACCUAGGUGAUGAUCAGUAGCCGGACUGAAGGUUGAUCGGCCGCAUUGGGACUGAGACACGGACCAGACUCCUACGGGAGGCAGCAGUGGGGAAUAUUGGGCAAUGGCGCAAGCCUGACCCAGCAACGCCGCGUGAAGGAAGACGGCUUUCGAGUCGUAAAGUUCUUUUAUAUGGGCGGUACCAUAAGAAAAAGCCCCGGCUAACUACGUGCCAGCAGCCGCGGUAAUUC